AAAACAUGCGGGCCACAUCAAUAUGGAUGGACUGGUGAAGAGCCAAUAACAUGUUCUUUAAGGGCUGCCUGAGAGUGGAGAGGCAGGAGCUGAGGACGGCAUUCCGCCAUUAUUGCGGUGGCGGCUCAAGUCUGAGAGUCUCUGGUCAGGUAAAUUAUCUGCCCGAUCAUCUUGCAGAGGUCCCGGUGGUACAGAGGCACUCCGUCUGUUUCUGUCUCCGGAGUCCUGCUAUAAAGCCACAUUUUGGGGAACCCUGGCCUUUUUAAUGCAUCAGACGUCUCGAAGCUCUUCCAUCCAACAUUGCGCAUUGUGUUUGCUACCACUAUUGGACCUUAUUUGUGAUUGGACAUUAUAUGGCUCUUCAAUAAGUUUUCAUGCCUUUGUUUUUGAAGAACAAUAAUGCCUCCAGUUUCUUUAGAAUCGGGCCGCACCGUCGGCUAAAUGGAGCACCUUGACGAAAUCGAAAUGUUCUCCCUGUCAAUGUCAAAAUGUUAUUUAAAAAAUACUUGUAGGUGUGAUUGUUCCAUA